rnacentral:rRNA from 1 species
GACGAACGCUGGCGGCGUGCCUAAUACAUGCAAGUCGAGCGCAGGAAACUGACGGAACUCUUCGGAGGGAAGGCAGUGGAAUGAGCGGCGGACGGGUAAGUAACACGUAAGGAACCUGCCUCAAGGAUUGGGAUAACUCCGAGAAAUCGGAGCUAAUACCGGAUAGUUCAUCGGACCGCAUGGUCCGUUGAUGAAAGGCGCUUCGGCGUCACCUUGAGCUGGCCUUGCGGUGCAUUAGCUAGUUGGUGGGGUAACAGCCCACCAAGGCGACGAUGCAUAGCCGACCUGAGAGGGUGAUCGGCCACACUGGGACUGAGACACGGCCCAGACUCCUACGGGAGGCAGCAGUAGGGAAUCUUCCACAAUGGACGAAAGUCUGAUGGAGCAACGCCGCGUGAGUGAUGAAGGUUUUCGGAUCGUAAAACUCUGUUGUAAGGGAAGAACACGUACGAGAGGAAAUGCUCGUACCUUGACGGUACCUUACGAGAAAGCCACGGCUAACUACGUGCCAGCCGCCGCCGUAAUAC